UGAAAUUCCUUGGCUUUUCUUUUAAGCCUUUUCGUUAACUCUUCAGUCCUCAGUCCUCACAUUCUCACACACAUCCAUCAUCCAUGCAUGUUAGGUUGCUUGAAUGCUUUGAUUCUAAAGUCUAAACACAUUUAAUGCUAAUAGUAUGAUCAUACUAAAAAGGAGAAAAUUUUGGCUGUUUAUGGUGGAUGAUGCUGUAUCAAUGGCAUACGCGGCCCCACUGCAGGUAGUGACCAGAUUUGUACAGCCUCCACCAUGGAGGCACUACGCAUCCAGAUUCAACACAGGCGUUUUUCCGGGCUGAUUUCUCUCUCAGACAGGCAAAAUUUGGAGCCUCAGAUCCUGGAGCUCCCGUUACUCUCUCUCUUUCUGAAACUUGGGUGGGCUUCUUUUCCUUUAAGUAGCCGAUUUUGACUCCAGCACCUGCGAGAUUUUCGGUCUUAGAAUGGGGGUUUCUGUUUCUCUUUACUCGUGUUCUUUUUUUCUUUUGUACGGUAUCUUCUCUCUUCCUUGUUGAAACUUCMUCUCAAAAGUUCGGAUUUUGGGUUCUGAAUUCUUUUCAUCUUCUUUUCUCAAUUUUGCUUCUGGGCAUCUUCUUUUUGAAUUUUGUUUCUGGGUCUCCUUGGUGGGUUACAUGGAAGGAAAGAAGAAUGGUACAAGAAGAACAGUAUCAGAGGUGGUGUAGCAAUAGCAGCAGCGGUGGUGGUGGCAGUGGAAGUAGAUCUACUAAGAAGCUGAAACAGAAAAAGAUCCCACAAAGAGGACUCGGCGUUGCCCAGCUAGAGAAGAUCCGAUUGGAAGAGCAGCAGAAGAAGGACGCGGCAUCAGUGGCAGUUGUGCCAUCGUCGCCGUGCAUCGUCAUUCCCCUCCCUCCACACAACCCUUAUCACUCACAAUCUUCUGUACCUUUUCCGCCACCUCCAGUUGAUCUCUCUUCAUCCAGUUCUCUGUUCAGACCAGUUGCUCCCUCUAUUCCGAUCUCUACCCAUGAUCUCUUUGUUCUACCUCCACCGAAUCCAACACCACCACCACUUCAUGGUCUUCCCAGUAGCCCUCUAGGCGCUGAAGGGGGAGUUUUCUCUGCGCUUGGUGAUUCGGCCGUCACAGGUGCAGGAGAUGCUUAUCUUCAGUCCAUUUGGAAUUCUCAUGAACUUAGUGAAGGUUCUAAAUUGGACCCGGGUUUCACAUUUCGCAGCCGUUUACAGAAUGACAACACAAUUUGGCUUCCCCCAGUUAUCACACACAGUAAACAACCUCAACAACAGCAUUCUUCAUCAUCAAUGGUGAAUGCUGCCUCGGUGACUUCAUCGUCCUCUGGAGUAAAUCUUCAGAUGGAGCCCCCUUCAAACCAAAGCUAUUAUAGCAACUAUAUACAACUACUUUGGCCUGAAGAGAAGAUGGUUGGCAUAAAACGGUCGUGGCCAUUCUCUGUGGACAACCCAUCUGUUCCUUCCUUCCAUUACAGAUAUCCUUCGUUGGGUACUCCCAUUUGCAGACCAGAAGAAUCAUCUUCAUGUGGGAAUGGUGGCAUGCUCAAUUAUGAACAGGGAAAUGCAAUAGUCAGGAGAGGCAUGACAGAGAUCAACCAUAAAAGGGGCAUCCAAGAGAAUGGUGCUCAGCUUGAGGGUGAUUUUCUCACCUUGGGCCUUUCUGCAACUAGUUCAUCAUCUUCAAUGGUUUCCAAAUCUAAACAACCAUUGGAUUUCCUGGGUCUCCAUUACCGGGACUUAACAGAAUUCGAUUUGUUUCCAAUUCAAGGAAGCAUAGAACAACAGCCCUUCUACAGCUUCUUGCCCCCAAAGGGACAGGUUGGUCGAGCGGCCCCAAGCACAGACGACCAUAGUGGUGAAGCAGGUGAUAGUGUUGAUCUCAACUUAAAACUCUAGGCUUGGACUUGGAAGAGGUUAUGGUCAGGAUUCAGGAACGUGAUUUUUUCUCUCUUUCUUUAAUGCGCGGACUCUGGACUGCAUCUCUGAGAGAGCUUAUACGGAGAAGGUCCUUUGCCGGAGGGAACAAAUGUAUAAACCAGAACGGAUCCAUGUGUGCUGAGUUUGUUUAACCAAGGGCAACUAGGUAAAUUCAGUCUCCAGGUUCCGAAUGUUGGCCGAGGAUUUUGAGACCUCGGGAGAGGUGAGCCGAAGCCGAGGACCGUAGGCCAAGGCGAGGUACCCCCUCCGAGGGCCGUGGUAGCUGAGUAUUGUAGGYCGAGGCGAGGUCCCUGGUGACCAGAGAUACUGCAAGACGGGGAAUGUCAGAGGCCUCGGGCGGGUACCCGAGGUAGAGGCUCUGACGCUCAAGUUAGUACGAGGUGUAAAGUAGGAGAGGGUGUAGGUGAGGUCUUGGUGAUAGUCCUUGGAUGCACCAAAUCUCCGAGAGUAAAUGCUAAGGAGACAAGGUGGGUGUAAGGAGUAAACGAGUAAGCUGAGUUAGGAUUUUCUAUUCCAGAUCCCCUUUAAGGGGGAGCUACCUCUUAUUUAUACUUGAGCGUGCUAGAAGUAGGUGAAGAUGAACGCCCCAGAUGAGAGCCGUACGAGGUUAGGCGGUAGGCCCUGGUAGGUAUGUCUGACUGUCAUGCGGUUAGCUCCGUAUGAAGGCAACAAGGCUCCCUCCUGCUGUGGCUGACGCUGUCAGACGUUAGUGGGCUGGAAUUCCCAGCCUGCGAUGCUCUGGGCCAAGCUAACCCACAUCAUUUGCCCCCCACUCCCGAGGCCGAGACAAGGCCUUGGUUUCGGUUGGCAACGAGGGUAGUAGUCGAGGUAAGGCAUUGGCUUUUCUUGUUGGGAGUAGUGGUUGUUAUACCUUCGUAUUCAUUAGCCGACGGGUGUCCUGUAGUGGCAUCAUUUUCGCUGUGUGUGUCGUCCCUCUUUGGUUUGGGAAUGCGUGUGGUGUGGAUGUCUCAGUUUGGUAGAGGUGUCCCGUAUCAUGCACGGGCAGGCCACAUUUGGGGGCUACCGUGCGGGGGACGAUUAUUCCAGUAGUCAUGCGUUAGUUGGGUUAAGUAGUCUGCUCGGUGGUUCGCAAUGGGCGGGCUGCCACGGGCAAUUUUUGCAGUCCACCCGGUGUCGUUUCGCCUUCUGAGGGCAUGCGCUAGGAGGUGCGGUGGAACUGGUUCGUAGAAACGGAGAACUCCCGCAUCCGUUGGAUUUGCAUCGAUCUAAACCGUUGCUUUGGGCAUUGUUUUGUCUUCCGAGGCCGAGCGCUUGGUGGCACAUUACAGUUGGACGGUGGGAGCGGAUUCGUCUCCGCCGUCGGAUUCAGAGAGAUCCCGACCAUCCAUUUUCUUUUAAAUAGGGACCUUGGUGGUGAUUUUCUCUUUCAUUUGAACUUAGACGCCCUUGCUCUCAAGUGAACGCACCUCCCCAACUCUUAAUUCUCCAGGACUUUCCUAUUUCUUACUCUUUUCGGGACAUUUCACCCUCUCUUAGGUAAUCAAAUAUGUCGAUUUUAGAUUUCGACCUAGAAUGCCAUGAACUCUUGAACAUCUUGGGAGGGAGUUCUCCUACAACCCCUCUCCCUUGUCUUCCUUGGGUUCCUUAGCCGUAGCAUCCCUUUGUCGGGAGGUGGCCGUCUUUAGGGAAAGGUUAACCUCGGGGGGUGCCGAGGGUAGUCAUCAGGGGAAUGACUCUCCCCAUGAAAGCGCUGCCUCGGUGUCGCUGAGGGAGCCCGAGGGAUCUCCUAUCUUUGAGGUUGAUGUUGUGGGACUCGUCGCUUGAGCAAUGGGAGGGAGUAUUGCCCGAAGGGUGGCUGACGGUGGUGUCUCGCGUUCAGAGUUUGACAGCUCCUUGGAUGUGUGCCAGGUCAAAUCCCUGGCGAGGAGAUUCCACAUACCUUGGUCUUAUGACUCGAGGGUCCUCGAUGUGGGCGAUCAGCCGUGGACCCCCGAGGAGGGAGAAAUCUGUGUCUACCAUCAUUUUUUGGAGUUUGGCCUUAGGUUUCCCCUCCCUUAAUCUCUGAGUUGUUGGAGUGGUACGACAUCACUAUUAGCUAGCUCAUAUCCAACGCCCUUAGGACCAUCAUGGCGAUGAUGGUGUGGGCUCGGUUCAGGGGCGUGGAGUUGAUGUUGAGGCUAUUCUGUGCCAUGUUCGCACCAAGGCCAACAUGUAUUACUUCCACCCGAGAAGGGGGAAGCCUAUACAUAACCCCUCGUCCAUCCAUGCGUGGAGGAUAAGUUCUUCUACGUCUCCUACCGUGAGGGCUAGCGUUCAGGUCCGACUAGGGGGAUGCCUGUGUCAUCGUCAGGAGAUGUCCCCCACAGCUCCGAGACGAAGAGGCUGUAGCUGUAGCUCACCUGCUUGUGAUGGUGACAUUCCAGGCAAAGUCGUUGGUGGAGGAGGAGGUCCCCCUAGUUUUCGCUGGGAUUAGCCCCACCCCCCUCGGUAAGAGAGGUUUUGUGGUUAGUGCGUCUUCCACGUUCUUUUCUUUUUAAAUUUAUUGUACUAAAUGUUUUCCUUUGUUGUUUCGUUGAAGUGACAAUGGAUAUCAAGCAACGUUUGUUGGAGAAGUCCCAGGAGAAGUAGGCCGGGAAGAAAGUCGGAGGGCAAAUGCCGAAGAGGCCUGACGCUGAAGUUGCUCCCUGCCCCGGCGAAUGGGGGAAAUCCGCAAGUCCUCACCAAGGGGAAGCAGUCGGUGGUGGCACCCCAAAAAGUCACUAGUGGGGUGAAGAGGCCCUCGGAGGGGGCCAAAAUGUUAGACAGUUUUGUAUGCCCUUAGCAUCUGAUGUACUUUUGAUAUUUAGUGUAAAUAAAUAAAGUGCAUGUUUGAUUCAUGUUAUUUGGUAUAAUUCUGUGUAAGACAUUAAAACUGGACACGUAUAGAGACUCGUCUUAGUUUUAAAUGUUCACAGCCAUUGGAUAAG